AGACAAUAGAUACCCUGGUAGUCCACGCCCUAAACGAUGUCAACUGGUUGUUGGUCCUUCACUGGAUCAGUAAACGAAAAGCUAAACGCGUGAAGUUGACCGCCUGGGGAGGUACGGCCGCAAGGUUGAAACUACAAAGGAAUUGACGGGGACCCGGCACAAGCGGUGGAUGAUGUGGUUUUAAAUUUCGAUGCAACGCGAAAAACCUUAACCCACCCUUUGACAUGCACGGAACCUCGCAGAGAUGUGAGGGUGCCCGAAAGGGAGCCGUGACACAGGUGCUGCAUGGCUGUCGUCAGCUCGUGUCGUGAGAUGUUGGGUUUAAGUCCCGCAACGAGCGCAACCCUUGUCAUUAGUUGCUACAUUCAGUUUGGGCACUCUAAUGAGACUGCCGGUGACAAACCGGAGGAAGGUGGGGAUGACGUCAAGUCCUCAU
rnacentral:rRNA from 1 species